rnacentral:rRNA from 1 species
UCCAGACUCCUACGGGAGGCAGCAGUAGGGAAUCUUCGGCAAUGGACGAAAGUCUGACCGAGCAACGCCGCGUGAGUGAAGAAGGUUUUCGGAUCGUAAAACUCUGUUGGUAGAGAAGAACGUUGGUGAGAGUGGAAAGCUCAUCAAGUGACGGUAACUACCCAGAAAGGGACGGCUAACUACGUGCCAGCAGCCGCGGCAAUACGUAGGUCCCGAGCGUUGUCCGGAUUUAUUGGGCGUAAAGCGAGCGCAGAGGGUUUAUUAAGCCUGGUGUGAAAGGCAGUGGCUCAACCAUUGUAUGGAUUGGAAACUGGUAGACUUGAGGUGAGGAGAGGAGAGUGGAAUUCCAUGGGGUACGGUUGAA